rnacentral:rRNA from 1 species
UACGGAGGAUCCAAGCGUUAUCCGGAUUUAUUGGGUUUAAAGGGUGCGUAGGCGGCCUAUUAAGUCAGGGGUGAAAGCCGGUAGCUUAACUAUCGCAGUGCCUUUGAUACUGAUGGGCUUGAAUGUACUUGAGGUAGGCGGAAUGUGACAAGUAGCGGUGAAAUGCAUAGAUAUGUCACAGAACACCAAUUGCGAAGGCAGCUUACUAAAGUAUGAUUGACGCUGAGGCACGAAAGCGUGGGGAUCAAACAGG